UUCGGAUUGCAGGCUGCAACUCGCCUGCAUGAAGCUGGAAUUGCUAGUAACCGCGGAUCAGCAAGCCGCGGUGAAUACGUUCCCGGGCCUUGUACACACCGCCCGUCACACCAUGAGAGUCGGGAACACCCGAAGUCCGUAGUCUAACCGCAAGGGGGGCGCGGCCGAAGGUGGGUCCGGUAAUUGGGGUGAAGUCGUAACAAGGUACC
rnacentral:rRNA from 1 species